UUUAAUGAGAGUUUGAUCCUGGCUCAGGACGAACGCUGGCGGCGUGCCUAAUACAUGCAAGUAGAACGCUGAAGGAGGAGCUUGCUUCUCUGGAUGAGUUGCGAACGGGUGAGUAACGCGUAGGUAACCUGCCUGGUAGCGGGGGAUAACUAUUGGAAACGAUAGCUAAUACCGCAUAAGAGUAGAUGUUGCAUGACAUUUGCUUAAAAGGUGCACUUGCAUCACUACCAGAUGGACCUGCGUUGUAUUAGCUAGUUGGUGGGGUAA
rnacentral:rRNA from 1 species